GACAGAGGUGCCAAGCGUUAGGCGGAAUCACUGGGCUUAAAGCGUGUGUAGGCGGAUUGGUAAGUACCUUGUGAAAUCCCACAGCUCAACUGUGGAACUGCUUGGUAUACUGCCUGUCUUGGGCUACUUAGGGGCAACCGGAACAAAUGGUGGAGCGGUGAAAUGCGUAGAUAUCAUUUGGAACGCCAAUGGUGAAAACAGGUUGCUGGGAGUAUGCUGACGCUGAGACACGAAAGCCAGGGGAGCGAACGGG
rnacentral:rRNA from 1 species